AACGCUUGCUGCAUGCUUUAUACAUGCAAGUCGAACGGAGGCCCUAGCUUGCUAGGUGUCCUUAGUGGCGCACGGGUGAGUAACACGUGGGAACAUACCUCAUAGUACGGAAUAACUGCGGGAAACUGUAGCUAAUACCGUAUAUUCCAGUAAUGGGAAAGAUUUAUCGCUAUGAGAUUGGCCCGCGCAAGAUUAGCUUGUUGGUGAGGUAAUGGCUCACCAAGGCUCCGAUCUUUAGCUGGUUUGAGAGGACGAUCAGCCACACUGGGACUGAGACACGGCCCAGACUCCUACGGGAGGCAGCAGUAGGGAAUAUUGGACAAUGGGGGAAACCCUGAUCCAGCAAUGCAGCGUGAGUGACGAAGGCCUUAGGGUUGUAAAACUCUUUCAUCGGUGAGGAUAAUGACAGUAGCCGAAGAAGAAGGACCGGC
rnacentral:rRNA from 1 species